AUAAGAUGUAGCAUAAGACUAAUGCGUCUCGUUUACACUGAGAAUAUACUUAAAUCAAGUCGUCUUAAA
rnacentral:tRNA from 1 species